UACGGGGGGAGCAAGCGUUGUUCGGAUUUACUGGGCGUAAAGGGCGCGUAGGCGGCCACCGCAAGUCGACUGUGAAAUCUCCGGGCUUAACCUGGAAAGGUCAGCCGAUACUGCGGGGCUAGAGUGCAGAAGGGGCAACUGGAAUUCUCGGUGUAGCGGUGAAAUGCGUAGAUAUCGAGAGGAACACCUGCGGCGAAGGCGGGUUGCUGGGCUGACACUGACGCUGAUGCGCGAAAGCUAGGGGAGCGAACGGG
rnacentral:rRNA from 1 species